rnacentral:rRNA from 1 species
CCUACGGGCGGCUGCAGUGGGGAAUAUUGCACAAUGGGGGCAACCCUGAUGCAGCGACGCCGCGUGAGUGAAGAAGUAUUUCGGUAUGUAAAGCUCUAUCAGCAGGGACGAAAAUGACGGUACCUGCUUAAGAAGCCCCCGCUAACUACGUGCCAGCAGCCGCGGUAAUACGUAGGGGGCAAGCGUUAUCCGGAUUUACUGGGUGUAAAGGGAGCGUAGACGGCAGCACAAGUCUGAAGUGAAAUGCCGGGGCUUAACCCCGGAACUGCUUUGGAAACUGUGCAGCUAGAGUGCAGGAGAGGUAAGUGGAAUGCCGAGUGUAGCGGUGAAAUGCGUAGAUAUAAGGAGGAACACCAGUGGUGAAGGCGGCUUGCUGGACUGUAACUGACGUUGAGGCUCGAAAGCGUGGGGAGCAAACAGGAUUAGAUACCCGUGUAGUC